rnacentral:rRNA from 1 species
UACGUAGGGGGCGAGCGUUGUCCGGAUUUACUGGGCGUAAAGCGCGUGUAGGUGGGGAAGCAAGUCCGGUGGGAAAGCCCGCGGCUCAACCGCGGAAGUUCGCUGGAAACUGCUACUCUUGAGGGUGAUAGAGGGAAGUGGAAUUGCUGGUGUAGCGGUGAAAUGCGUAGAUAUCUGGAGGAACACCGGUGGCGAAGGCGGCAUCCUGGACCGGUAUUGACGCUGAGGCGCGAAAGCUAGGGGAGCAAACGGG